UGAGGGGGCAAGACUAGCAGUUGCAUCAAUGUCUUUGGAAGGAGAAAGAGUGGCAUUGAAAGGAAAAUCUCACCCCCACUGAGCAGCUUUCCGCUCUGGUGACUCUGAGCCUAUUACUUGCUCCUCAUUUUAUUCAGAACUUCCAUUGACAUUUGGAAAAGCUGACAUCUCUGUGCAUACAAACAAUAACUUCUCUAUGCACCAACAGCUGCUAUUCAUGUCUGAAUAUUCAAUUCACUUUUUUUGACAAUUCUGCAAUUCAUCUACAUGGACAGCGCGAAAGUGCGGGCUGCUGAGAUAAGUGAAAUUAUCCACUGCUGAUAAAUUCAGAUCAUGGACUGAAAUCAUGAGCUCAAGAUAGACUCUUCAGUAAAACUGGUACUUACUUAAGUUUUCUUCAUGCUGAUUGUAAAACCAAAGUUGUCAAAUGCUUUGGAGAACAAGUCCAUGCUACAAAGAAUGACCAAUUCUGAACUAUCAACGCAUGUUUCGUCACUGGCAAGUAGCAAACUGUGUUACAUCAAUAAAUGUGUAGAGUUUCAUUCUUGGGAUGAUUUAAUUUAAGUACUUACAAUGACUGUAAAUAGAAACUAUUUCUUCCUGUGAGAGAUGCCAGAAU